UACGAAGGGGGCUAGCGUUGCUCGGAAUCACUGGGCGUAAAGCGCACGUAGGCGGAUUGUUAAGUCAGGGGUGAAAUCCUGGAGCUCAACUCCAGAACUGCCUUUGAUACUGGCGAUCUUGAGUCCGGGAGAGGUGAGUGGAACUCCGAGUGUAGAAGUGAAAUUCGUAGAUAUUCGGAAGAACACCAGUGGCGAAGGCGGCUCACUGGCCCGGUACUGACGCUGAUGUGCGAAAGCGUGGGGAGCAAACAGG
rnacentral:rRNA from 1 species